CGGGCUGUAGCGCAGCUUGGUAGCGCGCUUGACUGGGGGUCAAGAGGCCGCAGGUUCAAGUCCUGUCACCUCGACCA
rnacentral:tRNA from 1 species